rnacentral:tRNA from 1 species
GGGGAUGUAGCUCAGUGGUAGAGCACUUGCCUGCCAUGUAUGGAGCCCUGGGUUCAAUCCCCACUACUG